rnacentral:rRNA from 1 species
GAACGCUAGCUACAGGCUUAACACAUGCAAGUCGAGGGGCAGCGGGAUUGAAGCUUGCUUCAAUUGCCGGCGACCGGCGCACGGGUGAGUAGCGCGUAUCCAACCUUCCGUACACUCAGGGAUAGCCUUUCGAAAGAAAGAUUAAUACCUGAUGGUAUGAUGAGAUUGCAUGAUAGCAUCAUUAAAGAUUUAUCGGUGUACGAUGGGGAUGCGUUCCAUUAGGUAGUAGGCGGGGUAACGGCCCACCUAGCCAACGAUGGAUAGGGGUUCUGAGAGGAAGGUCCCCCACAUUGGAACUGAGACACGGUCCAAACUCCUACGGGAGGCAGCAGUGAGGAAUAUUGGUCAAUGGACGAGAGUCUGAACCAGCCAAGUAGCGUGAAGGAUGAAGGUCCUACGGAUUGUAAACUUCUUUUAUAAGGGAAUAAACCCUCCCACGUGUGGGAGCUUGUAUGUACCUUAUGAAUAAGCAUCGGCUAACUCCGUG